rnacentral:rRNA from 1 species
UACGUAGGUGGCGAGCGUUGUCCGGAAUUACUGGGUGUAAAGGGCGUGUAGGCGGGGAAACAAGUCAGAUGUGAAAUUCCACGGCUUAACUGUGGCGCUGCAUCUGAAACUGUGUCUCUUGAGUGCUGGAGAGGAAAGCGGAAUUCCUAGUGUAGCGGUGAAAUGCGUAGAUAUUAGGAGGAACACCAGUGGCGAAGGCGGCUUUCUGGACAGUAACUGACGCUGAGGCGCGAAAGCGUGGGGAGCGAACAGG